ensembl:lncRNA
UUUUUUACACAUUGCUUUAUAUUUUAUUUACCAUAAACACUAAGAGAAUACAGCAAACACUGGAGAAAGGCAUUUUAAUAAUUUUGAUGUAAAGUUUAGCACUUAAAAUUAUGCUUGCUCCCCACCCCCCACCCCAAUUCAACAUGCAGGUAUCAUUUAUUUCCAGAUGCAGUGAUUGUAGAGCAUUACAUUCUCUUGAAAGUUUUAUAACAGAGUAUCCUUGUCCUGUAACUUAAAACAAUUUCAUAAACUAUGUAUAAUCAUGGUAUAAUAACAUCAUUCAAAGAGUUUCCCAAAUGACUAUAUUCACACAAUAUUAAUAUUAAAGUCUUGAGUUUUUAAAACAUCAUCUCAAUAAGCCAAACCACAAAAACCCAGGUUCUAGUUUUAAAUGUGUUUAUGAAGACUGCUGCUGAGCUCAAAGCAUGCAGAUGUUCAUGACCACCUAGAUGAAGCUGGAUACUGAAAUUCCUUCAGUAGGUCCAAUGAUGCAAUUUUUCACUCAUCCCAAGUAUCUCCAUAUUUGUUUACUUUGACUAGGAAAAAAGCACAAAUAAUUGAUGAUUCCAAAUAGUAAUAAGUGAAAGGAACUGUUUUAUGUUUGCUAUUAUUAUGACUUAAAUUAUGUUUCUCAUUUGAAUAAAUGUACAUGAGAGUCAAAUUAUAAUUAUAAAAAGGGGCUGGCUAGCCUUUUGUGAACUGGAGGUUUGACAUAAAUACAGUAUCAAGACAUUUACAUAUGUAUUUGAUCUCUAAAACAACCUGAUAAAAUAAAUAUAACCCCCGUUCUAAGGAAAACAGAUUAGUAACUUGCCCAAGGUACAAGCCUAAUAAAAUAGGUAGAACUGAAACGUGAACACAGGUCUAUUUAGGUCCAAAGCCUGGGUACCUUUACAACUUUACCAUCUAAAGUAAGCAUGGUAUACAUUACAGGAUGCACAAUAGUUACCAGUAAAUGAAAAAUAAAACAAUAAUGAAUAUUUGAAUGCCAUUUUCCACAGAAAUCUCAGAUUAGAUUAAUUUAAUCUCUCUUAGGAGAUUAAUACCAGUACAAGGAGGAAAUGCUUUCCAGUAUUUUUGUAUUUUAUGUGAUAUUAUAUUUUGAAAUAUGUUCUUCUAUCUUUUCUACUCUUACUUUUUAGCCUGUCUUCUACACAGCCAUCAUCUGUGAAUUAUAACUCUUCAGAAGACCCAAGUAUUCACAACAAUGUAAAGAAGCAGUUAUCAAAGUAUAAGGGGAUUCCCUUCCUCAAGACUUUUUCAGUGAAGUCUUUAAAGUCAAAAUUAUUUCAUUAUUAUACUAAGACAUUGUUCUGCUUUUCCCCCUUGCUCUUCUUCCCUUAUGUGUAGAAGGCAGUUUUCACGGAGCUACAUGAUGUGUGGGAACAUCACUGCUG